UCUGGGGCACAAGGUGCCUUCUUUGUGGCCACCGCAUCCCAUGUCCAGCCCAGGCCUGGACAAUGAUGAGAUGUGCUCAGGUGCUUGGAGAAUCGUAUCUUCCUAGUGAGUUACACCAUUGCUGGGCCUGCUCUGGGCUGCCCUCCCAGCAUCUGCCUUCAUGAUCAGAGGCGUGACAUGUGGGCUGUAACUUGUUGCCCAGCCUCAUGGAGAAACUGUCUUUCUGUAGGUUGGUUCCUGUAUACCUUGGGCCAGAGAGCAAACAUAGGUGGCCUGAGAGAGCCCUGGUAUGUGGUGGAGAAGGACAGCGUCAAGGGUAACGUGUUUGUGGUGAGUGGGCCGGCCUCUGAGACAGCACUGGGGCUGGUUCUGGCAGGGCCAGCAGUGCUUCCAGACCAGGGCUUGAGAAGGCCUCCAGCAGCCGUGGCUUCCUGGAGGCUGUGACUAACUCUGUUCCUGUCCUUGGUCCCCUGCCUUUCCUGGGACUGGCCAUGGUGGCAGGAGAGUUUUAAGGUAUUCAUUAGGCUGAGUUGUAUGCUAGUCUCUUAAUCAUCAUUGAACCCCGAUACACAGAUACAGUUUCUCCAAUUUUAUGAAAGAGGACAGCGAUGCCCAGAGCUUGGGUGGCUCAUCCGGUGGAGAGGGCAUGGCCUGUAGGAUCCAGUGAGUUGUUGUCAGGCAGGUGCAGAUGGCCAAGCCAGGAUCAAACCAAGCCUUCCACCACAGUGGGGACCUUACCACUGUGACCCUGGCCUCAAAGCAGGGCCGCUCAGCGGCGGCAAGCUCACCCCACCUUCAGGGGCCUUGCCAGUGUCUAGAGGCAUUUUUGGUUGUCACAGCUUGGGUGGAAAAGCAAGGACACGGGUGCUGCUGCAUCUGUGGGUCAGGCCGGGGACGCUGCUGGCCGUGUUCAGCACAGCCUCUUCCCUGAAUGACCCAGCCUCCACCUUGGCGCACGGAGCUGAGAAGGCCCACUCUCAGCGCCCUGGCUGCUGGCUCAUGUUCUGGCACGAAUGCUGGGGCGCCUUCUCUUAGACGGAGGCGGGGGCCAGCAGGCGCCACCCGCCGAUUCCAGGACAUCUCCUAACUAGGAAGACCUGUGGGGUGAAAAGCCUGGCUGCGAAUGAAUUAAAUGAUCUAGAUUUCAGUUUGCUGUGAGAAGACCAGAAGGGUUAACCAACGGCCUCCUGUCCCUGGACGGGUCUUGGUGCCCGCUUAGAACCCAAAGCCCUUAACUUCAUGCUCCUCGUCCUGCUUCAGGGGCGGGGCUUGGCACAAUCCCAGGAGGUGCCAGGUCUCAAUGGCCCGAGGCCAUGGGUGGGUGACAGGGAGCAGGGGCCUCAGAACCAACCUAGGGUGUCUGGGGCCCCUCAGACCAGGGCCAGUCCUGGGGCACCUGCGGUAAGCCAGCAGCUACCAGUCCCUCCUUUCUCCUCAGCCAUUUGGUGUGUGGAGGAAUUCCUGGGGUGGCCUUGAGAGAACAGCCCGUGGUGUGGCUGGCCCGUGUCCCUGCGAAUAGAAAAACCAGUCCUCGAGGGGAGCCGUGCUGCUGCCCCACAGGUGGUUGCAGGUGGAGGGCCUGAGUCAGACUUGAACCCGCAGCAUUCACUGUCAUGGGCUCGGAUCUCACCCCUGCCUCUUGCCCACUCUGACAUGGUACUUCCUUCCUGGGCCUUAGUCUCCUCAUCUGUAAAAUGGGGAUUCAAAGGCCCGGCGGGUGAUGGGGUGAUGAGAUGAAUUUGUGUGUGUAGAACACUUCGAGCCGUGCCAGCACCGUUACCUGUGUGUGUGAUGGUAGGACAGUUGUUCCCAGGGACCACACUGAGGCCGGCCUUGCGGCGAGGUGCCCCUCGGCGUCCCCACCUUCGCAUUCCAUUCUGCAGGCCCCCCGGACAGACCACCCAGCCCUGUACAGGGACCUGCUGAGGACCAGCCGCGUGCACUGGAUUGCGGAGGAGCCUCCCGCAGCACUGGUCCGGGACAAGAUGAUGGAGUGCCACUUCCGAUUCCGCCACCAGAUGGCACUAGUGCCCUGUGUGCUGACCCUCAAUCAAGAUGGCACCGUGUGGGUGACAGCUGUGCAGGCUGUGCGUGCCCUUGCCACAGGACAGUUCGCUGUGUUCUACAAGGGGGACGAGUGCCUGGGCAGCGGGAAGAUCCUGCGGCUGGGGCCGUCUGCCUACACACUACAGAAGGGCCAGCGCAGAGCUGGGAUGGCCACUGAAAGCCCCAGUGACAGCCCAGAAGAUGGUCCAGGCCUGAGUCCCUUGCUCUGACAGAGAUGGAGCUGCUAGAAGGAACCUGGAGAGCAGGACCCAGGGCUGGGCCUCUGGUGAGCAGUCCAGGUGCCCAAGGGCCAGCUUGCUGCUGCCCAAAGCAGAGGAAGCCGGGCUGGCCGAGGGUCCGAAAAGCCUGCAGGGGCCCGGCGAGCCCCAGGAAGAGCCUCACCUCCAGGCUGGGGCUCUGGCUGCUGGAGCAUCUGCUGGCUGGUGGGGUGGCCCAAGUUCCCCUUCACUGCCCCCAGGGAGGGUUUCCCACCUCAGAGUACACCGAGGGGACCUGCAGAGGGGGCUGUCGGGACAGCGUGGAAUAAACAUUAUUUCAAGGAC
rnacentral:sRNA from 1 species